rnacentral:misc_RNA from 1 species
CAAACUCGAGCAAGUGCAUCUUCAAAAUGUUCACCAUCAGACUCCUUUGGAAUCAGGUUGAGUAUCUGUUGAACAGUACGUCGCUUUACAAUUCUGACUCCUAAACAGAAGAUUCGAGCAUCACAUCCGGUUAAUGAUAUUUUAUUGAUCCCGUCUUUUGUACAUGGUGUGACAAUUGGACCAUCAUCACGGCCAUUAGCCCCCAAUAAUUGUGAACCAGGUCUAUUAAUAGCUCGAACUGGCAUACCAUUGACCUGCAGAUCUGCAUAUUGUGGCCAUUGCAUCCUAAAAGGAACCUUGUCAUUCAAAAGCAUACACCAAGCCUGAACAUCAUAUUCUUGUUUUGUCAGCAAGUCCCUAUCUGCCCUUGUAAGAUGAAAUGUUUUCUCCACACUCUGCACUGGGCUUGAACCAUCACUCGGGAUAUUUGUAGUAGCCAACUUCACAGGAUACAGAGGAUGAGCAACAGUAACCCAAAAAGGGUCAGCACGGCAGAGUCGACAUAUCUCGCAGUAAAACAAGUCAGGAACUUGAGGAAUGCCCUCCAUGGGUUUUUCAGGAAUUAUAACACAACUAAUGUGUUGCCACACUUGACAUCUGCGAUCCUCACACUUAAUCAUCGACUCCGUCAACAAGGAACUUCCGCAUGGACAACGAACUUUUGUAUCCAAUUGAAAGGACUCAUCCAUUUCUCCUUUAAUUACUGCCUUGCUGCCAUCCAAAACACCCUGUCCCUUUGAUGCUAAAUCAGU